GACGAACGCUGGCGGCGUGCUUAACACAUGCAAGUCGAGCGGUAAGGCCCUUUCGGGGGUACACGAGCGGCGAACGGGUGAGUAACACGUGGGUGACCUGCCCUCAGCUCUGGGAUAAGCCUGGGAAACCGGGUCUAAUACUGGAUAUGACUCCAUGACGCAUGUUGUGGGGUGGAAAGCCUUGUGCGGCUGAGGAUGGGCCCGCGGCCUAUCAGCUUGUUGGUGGGGUGANGGCCUACCAAGGCGACGACGGGUAGCCGGCCUGAGAGGGCGACCGGCCACACUGGGACUGAGACACGGCCCAGACUCCUACGGGAGGCAGCAGUGGGGAAUAUUGGGCAAUGGGCGCAAGCCUGACCCAGCGACGCCGCGUGGGUGAUGAA
rnacentral:rRNA from 1 species